rnacentral:rRNA from 1 species
UGGUCAAUGGGCGCGAGCCUGAACCAGCCAAGUCGCGUGAGGGAUGAAGGUUCUAUGGAUCGUAAACCUCUUUUAUAAGGGAAUAAAGUGCGGGACGUGUCCCGUUUUGUAUGUACCUUAUGAAUAAGGAUCGGCUAACUCCGUGCCAGCAGCCGCGGUAAUACGGAGGAUCCGAGCGUUAUCCGGAUUUAUUGGGUUUAAAGGGUGCGUAGGCGGCCUUUUAAGUCAGCGGUGAAAGUCUGUGGCUCAACCAUAGAAUUGCCGUUGAAACUGGGGGGCUUGAGUAUGUUUGAGGCAGGCGGAAUGCGUGGUGUAGCGGUGAAAUGCAUAGAUAUCACGCAGAACCCCGAUUGCGAAGGCAGCCUGCCAAGCCAUUACUGACGCUGAUGCACGAAAGCGUGGGGAUCAAACAGGAUUAGAUACCCUGGUAGUCCACGCAGUAAACGAUGAUCACUAGCUGUUUGCGAUACACUGUAAGCGGCACAGCGAAAGCGUUAAGUGAUCCACCUGGGGAGUACGCCGGCAACGGUGAAACUCAAAGGAAUUGACGGGGGCCCGCACAAGCGGAGGAACAUGUGGUUUAAUUCGAUGAUACGCGAGGAACCUUACCCGGGUUUGAACGCAUUCGGACCGAGGUGGAAACACCUUUUCUAGCAAUAGCCGUUUGCGAGGUGCUGCAUGGUUGUCGUCAGCUCGUGCCGUGAGGUGUCGGCUUAAGUGCCAUAACGAGCGCAACCCUUGCCACUAGUUACUAACAGGUAAAGCUGAGGACUCUGGUGGGACUGCCAGCGUAAGCUGCGAGGAAGGCGGGGAUGACGUCAAAUCAGCACGGCCCUUACAUCCGGGGCGACACACGUGUUACAAUGGCGUGGACAAAGGGAAGCCACCUGGCGACAGGGAGCGAAUCCCCAAACCACGUCUCAGUUCGGAUCGGAGUCUGCAACCCGACUCCGUGAAGCUGGAUUCGCUAGUAAUCGCGCAUCAGCCAUGGCGCGGUGAAUACGUUCCCGGGCCUUGUACACACCGCCCGUCAAGCCAUGGGAGCCGGGGGUACCUGAAGUCCGUAACCGCGAGGAUCGGCCUAGGGUAAAACUGGUGACUGGGGCUAAGUCGUAACAAGGUAGCCGUACCGGAAGGUGCGGCUG